CCUACGGGAGGCAGCAGUGAGGAAUAUUGGUCAAUGGGCUUACGCCUGAACCAGCCAAGUCGCGUGAGGGAAGACUGCCCUAUGGGUUGUAAACCUCUUUUGUCAGGGAGCAACGCCGGCUACGUGUAGCCGGACUGAGAGUACCUGAAGAAAAAGCAUCGGCUAACUCCGUGCCAGCAGCCGCGGUAAUACGAAGUAUGCGAGCGUUAUCCGGAUUUAUGGGGUUUAAAGGGUGCGUAGGCGGAAUGCCAAGUCAGCGGUAAAAUCGCGGGGCUCAACCUCGCUCCGCCGUUGAAACUGGCGUUCUUGAGUGGGCGAGAGGUAUGCGGAAUGCGUGGUGUAGCGGUGAAAUGCAUAGAGAUCACGCAGAACUCCGAUUGCGAAGGCAGCAUACCGGCGCCCAACUGACGCUGAAGCACGAAAGCGUGGGUAUCGAACAGGAUUAGAUACCCUUGUAGUC
rnacentral:rRNA from 1 species